AGGAGUCUGUGGUUCAUAAGCAUGAUGAUUGGGUUUUCAUGCUAUGUUUGAGAUGUUCUUCCCUCUAAACCUUGUUACAACGUUUGCAUGUUACUGGUCUGACC